CAUUCUGAGUGCUUGGGUCCGUUUGUGGGACCGGUUACCCGACCUUUCUGUCAUUUGCACCGGCCGAGUUGGAGCCGUUUUGUCGACGUCUGAGUCUCGCUUGCGGGAGGAGGGCGGAGGGGAGACGGGGACGAUGAGGACGGUAGUGUAAUUUCGGCGGAGGAGGUAGGAGUGUUUCCUUUCCGGAAAGGGAAGGAGGACGACCUGCCCGCCGCCGGCGGUAUUUCCAACUCUUGUGAGGAAGCAUGAAGUCUGAAGUCUUGAAAAAAUGGAAAGCAAAACUUUCAACAACGGAUCUCUUGGCUCUGGCAACGAUGAAGAACGCAGCGAAACGCGAAAGGUAAUGCGAAUUGCAGAAUCAGUGAGUCAUCGAAUCUUUGAACGCACAUUGCGCCUCUCGGUAUUCCGGGAGGCACGCCUGUUCGAGCGCCAUUACACACUCCAAGCAGCAGCUUGAUGUUGGGCGACGUCUGAAGACCGGAGGAUUUCCCGAGAGGGAGGCUCAGGCGGAGGACGCGCCUGGAACGCGUGGGCGGCGGACGCCAGACCGCGAGCGUAGCAAGACAUGAUGUCACCCGCUCUGGUGGAUCUGGUGAACGACCAGUCUUUUGUCAAGGAAUCAACGAGUUUGGCCUCGGAUCAGGCGGGGAUACCCGCUGAACUUAAGCAUAUCAAAGCCCCGGAGGGAAAAGG
rnacentral:rRNA from 1 species